GGUACCUUAGGGAAGCAUAGGAUAAGACUUUGUGAGCAGAAUAUUCAAAAGGUAGUUAGUGUGAGAAUAGUUCUGAAAGGAGGGUGCUAAAUGGCAUGACAUCAUUCUAGUAUAGAGUGUCUAAAUAAGACUCUGUUAUUAAAAAUCUUUCAGUAUCACUUAUAUCUGAUAGUAUCUUAAAUUUCUCUUUUCUUCUAAAGAUAUGCUUCUCAGGUAAUAUAAUACUCAUGUGCAAGACCUGGUCUGUAACUUAGAGGUGAUUCCAGUAUAAUAUCUGUCACCGAAAAGCAAGCCUAUGGCAAUGAAGGAGAAUAAAAAUCUACACAGACUGUAAGAAAGCAGAUGAACAAGCUAUGCUGCUGCUGCUGCUAAGUCGCUUCAGUCGUGUCCGACUCUGUGAGACCCCAUAGACGGCAGCCCACCAGGCUCCCCCAUCCCUGGGAUUCUCCAGGCAAGAACACUGGAGUGGAUUGCCAUUUCCUUCUCUACUGCAUGAAAGUGAAAAGUGAAAGUGAAGUCGCUCAGUCGUGUCUGACUUGUAGCAACCCCGUGGACUGCAGCCUACCAUGCUUCUCCAUCCAUGGGAUUUUCCAGGCAAGAGUACUGGAGUGGGGUGCCAUUUCCCUCUCCGAUAGGGAACAGAAAAAAAAACACAAAACACUCUUUUAAGGGUGGUCAGGAAAUGUAUAAGCUGAAAAACAUGUGAAGAGGUAGAAACUAAUGAUCAUUGGUUGUGAUGAUUAGAAGACAUUUCUGGUAGAAAGUGGGGAAAAUUAAAUAAAAAGUGGAAAGUGAAUGAAAGGCAAGAAUGGGAACACUUAAGAGACCUAAUCCAAGUCUUUAGUCUUAGAAUACAUUACUGUUGUUAAUAUAUCAGUAUUCAGAAUUAUUUCCUGAGUGUUCUAAGCAAUAUUUCUUUUCUAUGUUGAUUUUUCUCUACUCUUGUCUUAUGAGCAGAGAAUUAUGUAUCCCCCCCCCAAUAUGUUGAAGUCCUAACUUCUAGUACAUAUAAAUGUGACCUUGGAUAGAAGAUCUCUGCAGACAUAAUCAAGUUAUAAUUAGGUUAUUAGGAUGGAUCCUGGGCCAAUAUGAUUGGUAUCCUAUUUAAAAGGGGAGGAUAACUAAUCUGAAGACAGAGACUCACAGGGAGAACACUGUAGAGGAAGAGAUUAGAGGGAUGAAGCUGCAAGUCAAGGGACCCCCAAGGAAGAACCACAAGAGAGUAAGUUUCUAUUGUUUUAAGCUACCAAUUGUAAUACAUUUUUUAAGGCAGCCCUAGGAACCAAACAUCCCUUGUUUCUCUCUCUCUUAUAUUAUCUCUUCACUUAACCAGCAAAUAUUUAUUAAACAUCUACUCUACACAGGUCACUCUGUUGCUCCAUUUCCCAGCUUUCUAAAUUGCCCUCUUAAGACAACACUUGGCAUUUACACGAUUAAUAAUUAAGAAGAAACAGCAUGGUGCAGGCUACUUUGCUUGAUCUUUUCCCCUCAUUUCUCCUGAAAAUGUUCCCAGUUGUGUCAUCUUUGAUGAAGAAUGAUACAUAUAGAUGAGUAUUUUCCAGCAUUUAUAGGUUCUUGGCUCCAAAGGCAUGGUAAAAGCGUCAAGUUGGUACAGAGCUCUUAGAGAAAUGAUAUGCCUCAUGCUAGGGUUGCAAGACUUGUUUCUACAGAAAGUGAUAAGUCCAGCACUGCAGUUUAGCAUUAACUGGAGAAUCAGAGUCAGAAGGUAUAAAAGACUUUUCAGGGGAAGAUCUGAGAGGAAGAAAACAAUCAGAGAAGGCCUCAAGUCCUUUAAAAAUAUCUUACAGAUGAACUAUAUCUGCGUUAGAGAGAAUAAGGUAUGAGGACUAGACCAUGAGUAUGCUGGCUCUUUGAAUAAUGAUAAUUGCUACACUUGAUGAUCAAACAGUAAAGACAUAUAGC
ensembl:lncRNA